UUUGCGGGUAAACAGACAUGGCCGGCGAAGGAGAUCAGCAGGACGCUGCGCACAACAUGGGCAACCACCUGCCGCUCCUGCCUGCAGAGAGUGAGGAAGAAGAUGAAAUGGAAGUUGAAGACCAGGAUAGUAAAGAAGCCAAAAAACCAAACAUCAUAAAUUUUGACACCAGUCUGCCGACAUCACAUACAUACCUAGGCGCUGAUAUGGAAGAAUUUCAUGGCAGGACUUUGCACGAUGACGACAGCUGUCAGGUGAUUCCAGUUCUGCCACAGGUGAUGAUGAUCCUGAUUCCCGGACAGACAUUACCUCUUCAGCUUUUUCACCCUCAAGAAGUCAGUAUGGUGCGGAAUUUAAUUCAGAAAGAUAGAACCUUUGCUGUUCUUGCAUACAGGUAAAAUAUUAGAGUCCAUUUGCUUAAUAGAUUUCCUCUCAUGGGUAAUUGCAGUGGUCACUGUUGAAGCCAAAGCAGGCUGUUAUUUUGCCUGUACAGGAGAGGUUGGGUAAGAAUGUGAGGUUAGGAAUUUGGUUAAGUAGAAGUUUGAUAGUGCAAGUUGGAGUAUUUU
rnacentral:sRNA from 1 species